rnacentral:lncRNA from 10 species
CUUGAAACUGCUUCUCCCACUGAAAUAGUUCUUCCUUUCAUUUUCAGGUAACAGAAUAAUAGAAAACAACGAAAUUUUAUGGCUGGACAGGAUACUAGAAGCUCUCUAGCUCAAUUUCUUUUCUUUAUUUUAAUGGAUGAGGAAAUACAUAAGCUUGUUAAAUCCUUCCUUCUCUCUCUCUCUCUUUUUUUUUUGUCGUUUUCAGACAGGGUCUCACUCUGUUGCUCUGGGUGGAGUGCAGUGGUGCGAUCUUGGCUCACUGCAGCCUUCGCCUCCUGGGCUCAAGCAAUCUUCUCAUCUCAGCUGCCUGGGUUGCUGGAACCACAGGUGUGUGCCACCACACCCCGCUAAUUUUUUUUUUUUUUAAAGACCAAGUUUUGCUCUGUCACCAGGCUGGAGUGCAAUGG